rnacentral:rRNA from 1 species
GAGGGGCCCGCGCCCGAUUAGCUUGUUGGUAGGGUAACGGCCUACCAAGGCCUUGAUCGGUAGCCGGUCUGAGAGGAUGGCCGGCCACACUGGAACUGAGACACGGUCCAGACCCCUACGGGAGGCAGCAGUGGGGAAUCUUGCGCAAUGGGCGAAAGCCUGACGCAGCGACGCCGCGUGGGGGAUGAAGCUUCUCGGAGUGUAAACCCCUUUCGACCCGGACGAAUGGCCCGCAAGGGACGUGACGGUACGGGUAGAAGAAGCCCCGGCUAACUACGUGCCAGCAGCCGCGGUAAGACGUAGGGGGCCAGCGUUGCUCGGAAUUACUGGGCGUAAAGGGUCCGUAGGCGGUGCGGCAAGUCGGGGGUGAAAUCUCUGGGCUUAACUCAGAGGCUGCCUCCGAAACUGCCGUGCUCGAGUGCGGGAGAGGCGAGCGGAAUUGCAGGUGUAGCGGUGAAAUGCGUAGAUAUCUGCAGG